GGUCGUACAUGGUCUCACUAGCUUCAGCAAGUCGAGCGGUAGAGAGAAGCUUGCUUCUCUUGAGAGCGGCGGACGGGUGAGUAAUGCCUAGGAAUCUGCCUGGUAGUGGGGGAUAACGUUCGGAAACGGACGCUAAUACCGCAUACGUCCUACGGGAGAAAGCAGGGGACCUUCGGGCCUUGCGCUAUCAGAUGAGCCUAGGUCGGAUUAGCUAGUUGGUGAGGUAAUGGCUCACCAAGGCGACGAUCCGUAACUGGUCUGAGAGGAUGAUCAGUCACACUGGAACUGAGACACGGUCCAGACUCCUACGGGAGGCAGCAGUGGGGAAUAUUGGACAAUGGGCGAAAGCCUGAUCCAGCCAUGCCGCGUGUGUGAAGAAGGUCUUCGGAUUGUAAAGCACUUUAAGUUGGGAGGAAGGGUUGUAGAUUAAUACUCUGCAAUUUUGACGUUACCGACAGAAUAAGCACCGGCUAACUCUGUGCCAGCAGCCGCGGUAAUACAGAGGGUGCAAGCGUUAAUCGGAAUUACUGGGCGUAAAGCGCGCGUAGGUGGUUUGUUAAGUUGGAUGUGAAAUCCCCGGGCUCAACCUGGGAACUGCAUUCAAAACUGACUGACUAGAGUAUGGUAGAGGGGUGGUGGAAUUUCCUGUGUAGCGGUGAAAUGCGUAGAUAUAGGGAGGAACACCAGUGGCGAAGGCGACCACCUUGGACUAAUACUGACACUGAGGUGCGAAGCGUGGGGGAGCAAACAGGAUUAGAUACCUGGUAGUCCACGCCGUAAACGAUGUCACUAGUCGUGUAGUCUUGGAGCUUUUAGUGGCGCAGCUACGCAUUAGUGACCGCCUGGGGGAGUACGGCGCAAGGUAAACUUCAAUGAUUGACGGGGCCGCACAGCGGUGGAGCAUGUGGUUUAUUCGAGCACGAGACUUACAGGCUGGCUUCAUGACUUCAAGAUUGAUGGUGUCUUCGAACUGGAACGGUUCGCAUGGCUUCUCAGCCUUGGUCUGAAGUUGGUAAGUCCUAACGGCACCUGGCCCUAC
rnacentral:rRNA from 1 species